UCCUGCCUGCCCUGUGACCCCUGGUUCAACGGCCGCGGUAUUUUGACCGUGCAAAGGUAGCGCAAUCACUUGUCUCUUAAAUGAGGACCUGUAUGAAUGGCACAACGAGGGCUUAACUGUCUCCUUUCCCCGGUCAGUGAAAUUGAUCUUCCCGUGCAGAAGCGGGAAUCCUAACAUAAGACGAGAAGACCCUAUGGAGCUUUAGACUCCAGAACAGAUCAUGUAAGCUACCCCCAUAAAACAGGUAAUAACUAUUGAAUUUCUGUUCCCCUGUCUUUGGUUGGGGCGACCACGGGGAAGAAAAAAACCCCCAUGUGGACCAGGAGCACAUUACUCCUACAACCAUGAGCCACAGCUCUAAUGCACAAAACCUUUGACCAUUAGAUCCGGCAAAGCCGAUCAACGGACCAAGUUACCCUAGGGAUAACAGCGCAAUCCCCUUUAAGAGUCCAUAUCGACAAGGGGGUUUACGACCUCGAUGUUGGAUCAAGACAUCCUAAUGGUGCAGCCGCUAUUAAGGGUUCGUUUGUUCAACGAUUAAAGUCUUA
rnacentral:rRNA from 1 species